GAUGAACGCUGGCGGCGUGCCUAAUACAUGCAAGUCGAGCGAACAGACGAGGAGCUUGCUCCUCUGACGUUAGCGGCGGACGGGUGAGUAACACGUGGAUAACCCACCUAUAAGACUGGGAUAACUUCGGGAAACCGGAGCUAAUACCGGAUAAUAUAUUGAACCGCAUGGUUCAAUAGUGAAAGACGGUUUUGCUGUCACUUAUAGAUGGAUCCGCGCCGCAUUAGCUAGUUGGUAAGGUAACGGCUUACCAAGGCAACGAUGCGUAGCCGACCUGAGAGGGUGAUCGGCCACCCUGGAACUGAGACACGGUCCAGACUCCCACGGGAGGCAGCAGUAGGGAAUCUUCCGCAAUGGGCGAAAGCCUGACGGAGCAACGCCGCGUGAGUGAUGAAGGUCUUCGGAUCGUAAAGCUCUGUUAUUAGGGAGGAACAAAUGUGUAAGUAACUAUGCACGUCUUGACGGUACCUAAUCAGAAAGCCACGGCUAACUACGUG
rnacentral:rRNA from 1 species